UGGGGAAUCUUCCGCAAUGGACGAAAGUCUGACGGAGCAACGCCGCGUGAGUGAAGAAGGUUUUCGGAUCGUAAAACUCUGUCUUUUGGGGCGAACGUGAGUAUGGUGAACAAUCAUAGUCAGUGACGGUACCAAAGGAGGAGGCCACGGCUAACUACGUGCCAGCAGCCGCGGUAAUACGUAGGUGGCAAGCGUUGUCCGGAAUUAUUGGGCGUAAAGAGCGCGUAGGCGGGAUAGUCAGUCUGUUGUAAAGUGCGGGGCUCAACCCCGUGAUGGCAAUGGAAACAGCUAUUCUUGAGUGCAGGAGAGGAAAGUGGAAUUCCCAGUGUAGCGGUGAAAUGCGUAGAUAUUGGGAGGAACACCAGUGGCGAAGGCGACUUUCUGGACUGUGUCUGACGCUGAGGCGCGAAAGCCAGGGGGAGCGAACGGGAUUAGAUACCCCCGGUAGUCCUGGCCGUAAACGAUGGGUACUAGGUGUGGGAGGUAUCGACCCCCUUUCCGUGCCGGAGUUAACGCAAUAAGUACCCCGCCUGGGGAGUACGGUCGCAAGACUGAAACUCAAAUGAAUUGACGGGGGUCAUAGCUGUUUCCUG
rnacentral:rRNA from 1 species